GGGGGUGACCAGGAUCGACAAGUGAUCUUCUCCUAAAGGGAGCAUGCAGAGGUUGUCAGGAGGCCUCUUAAACGCCAUGCAGUUUGGCGUAAACACCUGGCAAAAACACAAAUGCUGAUAACAUCAGCUGGAACGAAAGGCAGGUAGCUGCCGGGCCCAUCUCGGCGCCUCUUGCGUUCGUUCCCCUCGCCGCUUAAUUGACGGCGACGUUACAGGGCCAACACCUGCUAGGCCCAUGUGACGUCAAUGCGCAGGUUGCUCUUCCGGUUUCGCCGUCGAACCGGAGGAUAAGACCCAGACGGAUCGUCCGGUAAAAUCCUGUCCGUGGGAGUUUGUCGGAUCAAACUAAAAUACGGAAUGAGCAUGGAGCGCCUUUUAGGAUAAGUCUCUUGGACGAGGGUGCGAUUCCCUCCACCUCCAUGC
rnacentral:tmRNA from 1 species